rnacentral:misc_RNA from 1 species
UUUUUCUUUCAACUCUCCAAUCAAAACAUUAAUAUUAUUUUUUGAAAUUUUCCAAUUUUUUACAGAGUUGUUUGAAGAAGAAACCAGAAGAAAUGGAUCUAUUUUACAAAGCAAAAGCAGUAAGGCUAAGAAGUUAUCAUGAAAAAUAUUUAACAGCAGAGGAAGAUGAAGAAACAGUGAUUCAAGAUCGUGAUGGAGCUUCAAAAAAUGCAACUUGGACUGUUGAAUUCGUAAAUAAUGCUGAAAAAUUCAAUACCAUUAGACUCAAAAGCUGUUAUAACAAGUAUCUUACUGCUUCAAAUCAGAGAUUUUUAUUAGGUAUGACAGGGAGGAAGGUUCUACAAACUCUGCCACAAAGGCUUGAUUCUUCAGUAGAAUGGGAACCCAUUAGAGAAGGGAACCAAGUGAAGCUUAGGACAAGAAAAGGUCAAUUUUUGAGGGCUAAUGAUAGUAUUCCACCAUGGAGGAACUCAGUAACACAUAAUAUCCCACAUAGAACUUCAACACAAGAUUGGGUUUUGUGGGAUGUUGAUGUUGUUGAAAUCUUGGUUCAUUCACCAGUUCCUAAAGAACCUCCACCUUUGGUUUAUCAUGAUCAAGAAGAAGAGACUAAUUGGGGUUCUGAAUCUACUUCACCUUCAUCUACUCUUUACUCUGCAUCAGCACAAAGCUUUUCUAGACAAGAGUCGAAUGAGUUUAUGGCUAGUUCGUUAAUGAAGUUUGGAGACGGGAGGCUGAUUUAUUAUCACAUUGCUAAUGAAUAUGGAGAAAUCAAUGAUGGAGUAGAAGGUUUAUGUAUUCCUUUUAAGGGAAAUAGUGUUGAGGAGCUGACGAAGACGUUGGAAGAAGAAACUGGACUCGAGGACAUUACUGUGUGUACAAAGAGUCCUUUGAAUGGGAAACUUUACCCUCUUCGUUUGCAGCUUCCUCCCAACAACGCAAAUAUGGAUGUCGUUGUUGUGCCAUCCGGCCUCAUCUAAAGCUGGAGAUUUUGCAAAUGCAAGGAUGUCAAUGUAGAGCAAAUUUGAUUGCAUUAUACAUCAAAGUGUGCCUACAUAUGUCUUAGUGUUUCAAUAUUGAGUGAGUUGAUAUUACAACGAGUCCUCCAACAAGCAGAAUAGAAGUUGAUCACAAGGCCAUCUCGGGGAGGUCCUGAUAUCAUAAAGCAUAUUGGACAACCUAUACUUAUAAAGCAUGCAUAUAUAUAGACAUCUUUGGUUUGUGAAUUCUUUUAAUUUUCCCAUUGGGUUGUGGGGUGGGGGGAUUGUUUAAUUUCUUGAAUUGAUUCAUUUUUGCAGCUAUAGUUUUGAUUGUAAAUUAUUUAUUAUUGAAGUUUAGCACUUCCUUUUGAUUGCCUUGGAA